rnacentral:rRNA from 1 species
GGGGGUAGAGCACUGUUUCGGCAAGGGGGUCAUCCCGACUUACCAACCCGAUGCAAACUGCGAAUACCGGAGAAUGUUAUCACGGGAGACACACGGCGGGUGCUAACGUCCGUCGUGAAGAGGGAAACAACCCAGACCGCCAGCUAAGGUCCCAAAGUCAUGGUUAAGUGGGAAACGAUGUGGGAAGGCCCAGACAGCCAGGAUGUUGGCUUAGAAGCAGCCAUCAUUUAAAGAAAGCGUAAUAGCUCACUGGUCGAGUCGGCCUGCGCGGAAGAUGUAACGGGGCUAAACCAUGCACCGAAGCUGCGGCAGCGACGCUUAUGCGUUGUUGGGUAGGGGAGCGUUCUGUAAGCCUGUGAAGGUGUGCUGUGAGGCAUGCUGGAGGUAUCAGAAGUGCGAAUGCUGACAUAAGUAACGAUAAAGCGGGUGAAAAGCCCGCUCGCCGGAAGACCAAGGGUUCCUGUCCAACGUUAAUCGGGGCAGGGUGAGUCGACCCCUAAGGCGAGGCCGAAAGGCGUAGUCGAUGGGAAAC